UGCGGCGUGUAGGCGACCGGCGCUCCCCUCAGCCGCAGGGGCCCUGGAGCCGUCUUCUUGGCUGGGGAGGCGGCCUGCCUCGGGAGUCAGAUUCCACCCACGGCUUCUUGGGGGCAACGAGGCGUCCGGACUCCAGAAUCAAAUCGAUGUUCAAGAGGACAUUCUUGGAUGUUUGUACCUGAGGUCAAGGUGUUUCCGGUGAGGAACAGAAAGCGCAGGUGAAGGGCCUGGCCGGGAGGGGCUCUGGAAAAUAAUCAUGGAAGAAUGAAGGAGUUAGUGACCAAAUACGGGUGCGGAGGCCCACAGCGCAGGGCCCAGUGGCGGCCUGGUGGUCGGGAGCGUCCGCAUGGCGGACACGGACUGUGUGGCCCGGGCCAGCCUCCCUCCUGAGGUGAGGCUCACCUGUAAUCUCACCGCAGACCUACUUCCGGUCUUUCCCGCUGUGCAGAGAAGGUGCCAUUGAAGCUCUGAGAUGCCAGGACAAGGCUUAUCUCUUGCAACAUCAGAGUGAGUACAACUGGGAGCUAUUCUUGAAGAAGGCUGUGACAUCAUUAAUUAACACACACUAAGGAAAGAAUCUGACAGGGAUGGCAGCCCAGUCCAGAAAACGGAUACCAAAACACCAUGAAUCUGUCAGCAUGUGUGCAGUGGGGAACGGGGGAUGGCGGCCCAAGCUGUGUCUCAUACUCAGAUGCCAUUGAAGCUCUGAGAUGCCAGGACAAGGCUUAUCUCUUGCAAUAUCAGGUGAUAUGGAUGCCCUGAACUGCCCUGGAGAUGCAUCCUCAUCCAAUAAAGAGGUAAGAACAAAACAAUGAAAAAAAAGAGGACACAUGCAGGUAGAGGAGUGUGUCAAUGCCAAGUGAAAAUUUACCAGCUUCAUAGGGACAUCUGGGUGGCUCAGCGGUUGACCAUCUGCCGUCAGCUCAGGGCGUGAUCCCAGAGUCUCGGAAUCAAGUCCCACAUCAGGCUCCCUACAUGGAGCCUGCUUCUCUCUUUGCCUCUCUGUAUGUGUCUCCCAUGAAUAAAUAAAUAAAAUAUUUUUUAAAAAAUUUGUCAGCUUCAUGACUUCAUGAUUAGAAGAGAAGGAGGAGGAGCAAAUAUAAUAUAUUUUUUUUUCUGCUUCCUCAUUGUCCUUGUCUACAUACUGGUAUAUUUUCCAGAGCUAUAAGCAUAAUUGGAUAUUUUGUUUUUCAGAAUGCUAUUUUGAAUGACUCCUUCCCCUACCUGAUAUUCUUCAUAUUUUUUCUGUUAACUUGUAGAAUAUUCCAUCCAAUUAAUGUACUACAACUUACCUCACUGUUUUGACUUUCCCUAUUACUGGGCAUUUAGGUGGUUGAAUUUCUGUUAUUAUAGAGAAUGCUCUGGUGAAGAGCCUCAUACCUAGGGAUGCCUUCCUUGUGAAUUAGCUCCUCCACCUAAAUUACAAUGAAUGAAAUUACUGGGUCAGGUGUGGACAGUUUUAUGAUUCUUAGUACAUAGUAUCAAGUUCCUGUUUUAUAUCCACUGUCAGAAAGGUAUGAGCACAUCAGUUUAAUUGCAAACUCUGGCACCAGUAUCACUAUUACAUCUUCUUUGCCAAGUUAAUAGAUAUAAAAAUAUAUCUCAUUGUUUAUUUGAGUUUUGUUAUGUCCUGAAUAUUUUCCCAUUUGCUCAUUACCAGCAUUUCAUUCUAUUUGUGUCACUUGCUCAUAAGGGCAAAUUUAUGAUAUUUUUAUAUAUCAGAAUAAAUUCUUAUAUAUUAUGCAUAAUAAUCCAUUUCUGGGGACACCUGGGUGGCUCAGCGGUUGAGCAUCUUGCCUUCAGCUCAGGGCGUGAUCCUGGAUCGAGUCCCAUAUCAGGUUCCCUGGGGGAAGCCUACUUCUCCCUCUGCCUGU